CACACAUUUACACCAUGACAGACACAGAAACACACAUAUACCAUGACAGAUACACACCCCAUGACAGACACACACACACCAUGACAGACCAUGACACAGACAGACACACACCAUGACACAGACACACACACCAUGACACAGACACACACCCCAUGACGGACAGACACACACACACACCCCAUGAUGGACAGACAGACACACACACACCCC